UUCAGACCUCUCUCUCUUUGUUCUGCUUCCUUCUCCGUUCUCCAUGCGUGCUACUUCAAAGUCCCCUUUGAAAACCUGCUCCAAGGAGAGUCCAUUUUCUUUCAAAAUCUGCAGUCGUAUUGAUGUCCGGAAUCCUUUGUGGCCUCCUUCUACGGCUGUGUGAUGGUGAGCCUUAAUGAAUCAAAACUCCAUUUUCUUUUAGAUGCCCGCCAUGUCUAUAUGCCAUCUCUCUCCUUUGAAUUCCAAACUCCUCAAAA
rnacentral:lncRNA from 1 species